UCGAUCCCUGGUCUCCAGGAUCACACCCUGGGCUGAAGGUGGCCCUAAACCGCCGAGCCACCCAGGCUGCCCGCUUGGAUUAUUUCUACAAAAGAUUCUGAUUCGUUCCAUCUGGUUUGCAGACUUGGAUGGGCAGAAGAAAGAUGUAUGUUUGCCUGUACUUGUAUUUGCUUAUGCAUGUCCCACCUGGGGGAAGACUGCUCUUGGAUUGCAGUCCCUUGUAUUAGUCAACUCUUCAGAGGCUGCCCUCCCUCGGACAGAAGAAGGCCGGACACAGGACCCGCUAAAAUAGGAACAUUUAGGGAGCUACUUGCAUUCCGAAUGAUUGUAAAGCACAUAUUUCCUACGUUGCUAUACAAGUCUUCCGAGUAAUUUAGAACAUCUGUCUGCAAGCAAGAAGGAGAGAUUCCAGGUACCCUAAGGGAAGGAUCCUCCAGUCUUCCCACAGAAGGAACUGCCUACUGCAUCUUCACAGUGCACAGAAGUGCUAAGUCCAAACACCAGCCCCCACGAAACAGCUGUGCGCACCCUGGAAGCAGCAUCCUUUCUUAGCCUCACUAUUUGCAAUUGUGCGUCAAGACCACACCCCUAAACUCCACACUGCAGUACUUUUGAUCCCAUCUCUGUGUGAGAUUACAUCUAAUUAUUUCUAGACUUUAUCAUGUUCCAUCUAAGUCUUUUUUUUUCUAGCUAAAUAUCCCUGGUCCCUCGUUGCCAACUUUAUCAAGUGUGAUGGUUAAUUUUAUGAGUAAUUUGACCAGGCUGUGAUCCCCAGCUGUUUGGUCAAAAGUUAAUCUAGAUGUUUCUGUAAAGGUACAUAUAGAUGUGAUUAACAUUAAAUCGGUAGACUUCAAGGAAAGCACAUUCCUCCUCUCAGGUGGGUGGGCCUCAUCCAGUCAGGUGAUGGCCUUAAGAGGAAAGACUAAGGUUGCCCAAAGAGGCAAGUUGGCUUCAAAACUGCAACACAGAAACCUUACUUGAGUUUCCAGCCUGUUGCUCUAUUGGCUCAAGGUGACCACAACAUCAGCUCUUGCCUGUGGAUCUGCUUGACAGAUUUCUGACGUGCCAGGCCCUACAAUCAUGUCAGCCCAUUCCCUAAAAAUCUCUCCUCUCAUGCUCUCUCUCUUUUUCUCUCUCUCUCAUUUUCUCUCUUUUUUAUAUAU